rnacentral:lncRNA from 10 species
GAGGUGGGCAAGUUAGUUGCUCCAAAAACAAGAUAAAAUGAUUGAGUUCUUUUCUCAAGCGGGAGUCGGAGUUUAUCUGCUCUGAGAAAUAUUGAUGUUAAAGAGGAAACUAACUUUCUGAACCAUUAAAUGUAAUAUCAUUUAUCUCACCAAAUCCCAAGAUAGAUGCCUCCCACAUUGCCUGUGACUUUACAGAAGCUUGGAGUCUAAAUUAUGUGGCUGCUAUUAGUAACAACUUUGAGACCGAAGGCUAUUGGGCUAUUGGCUCCACCAUGGGCACCACUAGCUUUAAACUCAAACAGACAGAUGAGACCACUUGAACCUUGGCAGUUACCAGUUCAGAGGAGCAGCCUAACCCAGCCACUCCACAGCUGCAAUUUGAGAGCAUCUAGAGGACACCACAUAAAUCUUUUCACCUGGUCCCUGCUACCACAGAUGAAACCUCCUCAAUGCCCCCAAGAAGCCAUCUUGGGCAGGAAAAAGAGAGCCCCAGCAGCUACUAUUAAUGAGUGUCUGGAAUAUGUUCCUGGCAUUUCACCUACCCUCUCUCCAAUCCUUCCAAGAAACUCACAAAGCAGGGCUUUUUCUUGAACUUCUCUUCCUCACAACAGUUAAAUCAUCCAUUUAAAGAUGUCAAACAACCUCCGUGUUCUAAG